AAGCAAGACCGUGAGGUGGAGGCAAAACUCAAAAACUUAGUCUCAGUUCGGAUUGUAGGCUGAAACUCGCCUACAUGAAGCUGGAGUUGCUAGUAAUCGCGAAUCAGCAUGUCGCGGUGAAUACGUUCCCGGGCCCUUGUACACACCGCCCGUCACACCAUGAGAGUUGGCAAUACCCAACGUACGUGAUCUAACCCGCAAGGGAGGAAGCGUCCUAAGGUAGGGUCAGCGAUUGGGGUGAAGUCGUAACAAGGUAAC
rnacentral:rRNA from 1 species